AAGGACUGUACAGAGAUGGGUGUGGCCGGACUUUUCACUUUAUUGAAGUUGAGCAGUUGGGAUCAAGAUUCUCUGGAUCAUCUCCUCAUCUCACCCUCAGCCUAACUCUGGAAAUACCAGCGAAAGACCCCUCCACUAGCCCCUGACCCCUCCAUUCCCUGAUACCAGUGACAGGGGAAAGCAGAAGCUGUAUGCCUAGAAGCUAGAGGGACACAGGGAGAGGGUCCACAUGUACUCCUCCAAUCCUGCCCAUCCCUUAACUCACCGUGCAU